GAGGGAGGAGGAGAAGGCGCGCCGGAAGGGGAAGCCAGACGCGGACGGAAGCUCCAGCAAGGAGGGGGCCGCGUCGAAGCUCACCUACGCAGAGUUCUGUGAGCUGCUGAAGUCGGUGUGGACGUCGACCCUCAACCAGCUCGACCCCCAGCUCAACCCCUUCCUCAGUAUGCCCACCAGCUGGUACCAAGGUCUCUUCAAGGUCCUCAUGAGCAAGUUCGGUGAGACGACUGUCCGCCAUUUUCUCUCGCCAGAUGGCAGCGUGCAAUAUCUAGCCUUACUCAAUCCGAACUAUCUUGACAUGUUUAUGAUGGUCAGCGUUGACACGCGGGAAAACAAAGCUGUAAGUGUGU